rnacentral:rRNA from 1 species
GACGAACGCUGGCGGCGUGCCUAAUACAUGCAAGUUGAGCGCUGAAGGUUGGUACUUGUUCCAACUGGCUGAGCAGCGAACGGGUGAGUAACGCGUGGGUAAUCUGCCUUUGAGCGGGGGACAACAUUUGGAAACGAAUGCUAAUACCGCAUAAAAACUUUAAACACAAGUUUUAAGUUUGAAAGAUGCAAUUGCAUCACUCAAAGAUGAUCCCGCGUUGUAUUAGCUAGUUGGUGAGGUAAAGGCUCACCAAGGCGAUGAUACAUAGCCGACCUGAGAGGGUGAUCGGCCCCAUUGGGACGGGGACACGGCCCAAACUCCUACGGGAUGCAGCAGUUAGGAAUCUUCGGAAAUGGGCGAAAGUCUGACCGGGCAACGCCGGGGGAGUGAAGAAGGUUUUCGGAUCGUAAAACUCGGUUGGUAAGGAAGAAAGUUGGUGAGAAUGGAAAGCGCAUCAAGUGACGGUAACUACCCAGAAAGGGACGGCUAACUACGUG